GCUGGGCCUGGUGGCACAUGCCUGUAAUCCUAGCUACCUGGGAGGCUGAGGCAGGAGGAUUGGAAAGUUUAAGACCAGCGUCAGCAAUUUAAGGGAGACCCUGUCUCAA
rnacentral:sRNA from 1 species